GAUGAGGCAGUUGGGAGGUGAACAUG
rnacentral:piRNA from 1 species